rnacentral:rRNA from 1 species
CUUGCUCUUCUUGGAUGAGUUGCGAACGGGUGAGUAACGCGUAGGUAACCUGCCUUGUAGCGGGGGAUAACUAUUGGAAACGAUAGCUAAUACCGCAUAACAAUGGAUGACCCAUGUCAUUUAUUUGAAAGGGGCAAAUGCUCCACUACAAGAUGGACCUGCGUUGUAUUAGCUAGUAGGUGAGGUAACGGCUCACCUAGGCGACGAUACAUAGCCGACCUGAGAGGGUGAUCGGCCACACUGGGACUGAGACACGGCCCAGACUCCUACGGGAGGCAGCAGUAGGGAAUCUUCGGCAAUGGGGGCAACCCUGACCGAGCAACGCCGCGUGAGUGAAGAAGGUUUUCGGAUCGUAAAGCUCUGUUGUAAGUCAAGACCGAGUGUGAGAGUGGAAAGUUCACACUGUGACGGUAGCUUACCAGAAAGGGACGGCUAACUACGUGCCAGCAGCCGCGGUAAUACGUAGGUCCCGAGCGUUGUCCGGAUUUAUUGGGCGUAAAGCGAGCGCAGGCGGUUUGAUAAGUCUGAAGUUAAAGGCUGUGGCUCAACCAUAGUUCGCUUUGGAAACUGUCAAACUUGAGUGCAGAAGGGGAGAGUGGAAUUCCAUGUGUAGCGGUGAAAUGCGUAGAUAUAUGGAGGAACACCGGUGGCGAAAGCGGCUCUCUGGUCUGUAACUGACGC